CCUACGGGAGGCAGCAGUGGGGAAUAUUGCACAAUGGAGGGAACUCUGAUGCAGCGACGCCGCGUGAGUGAAGAAGUAAUUCGUUAUGUAAAGCUCUAUCAGCAGGGAAGAAAGCGACGGUACUUGAAACAGAAGCUCCGGCUAAAUACGUGACAGCAGCCGCGGUAAUACGUAUGGAGCAAGCGUUAUCCGGAUUUACUGGUGGUAAAGGGAGAGUAGGUGGCAGAGCAAGUCCGAAGUGAAAACCCAAAGCUCAACUAUGGGAAUGCUUUAGAAACUGCUCAGCUAGAGUGCAGGAGAGGCGAGUAGAAUUCCUGGUGUAGCGGUGAAAUGCGUAGAGAUUUGGAGGAACACCAGUGGCGAAGGCGGCUUGCUGGACUGUGACUGACGCUGAGGCUCGAAAGCGUGGGGAGCAAACAGGAUUAGAUACCCUAGUAGUC
rnacentral:rRNA from 1 species